rnacentral:rRNA from 1 species
UCUUUUCCUUUUUUUCCCUCCUCCUCUUUCCUCCUUCUUCUUCGCGCUUUCUCCUUCUUUCUUUUUUUUCCCUUUUUCUUCUUUUGUGCUUUCCUUCCGCGGUGAAAGUUUGUGGCUCAACCAUAAAAUUGCCGUUGAAACUGGGUUACUUGAGUGUGUUUGAGGUAGGCGGAAUGCGUGGUGUAGCGGUGAAAUGCAUAGAUAUCACGCAGAACUCCGAUUGCGAAGGCAGCUUACUAAACCAUAACUGACACUGAAGCACGAAAGCGUGGGGAUCAAACAGG